UUCAGGGAUCAUUUCUAUAGUAUGUGACUAGAGAAUUGUAGCUGAAAGUGUAGCACGGAGGUAACCACGAGGAGGAGCUGUAGCGUUCCCUUCUGAGCGUGAAGCCGGCUUGUGGUGCUGCUUUUCAGCAGCUGUCACUUGCCAUUGAU